AUUUAUUGAUACAUUUCUGGUAUUGGGUCCCGAACUUGGCCAAAACCUCACUAGUUAAAGCUGAGGUGGUGGAGAUGACUUACUAUAACGACUGCUCACGGUUUUUAGUACCUGAGUUUUCCAUCUACCUGAAUGGGGAGCAGUUGUGGUAUGGACCGUGCCUAUGGAGGAGGGGUGGGACUCUCUAAGGUUCAAUCCCUUUCCCUCCCCAGUGUGAGGUCACAGGGCUGAGGGUCACAUUCUAGGAGUGGCUGGAGGAGGCCUCUGUCUCAGGUAAUUUCAUGGAGCUUCCAGAGCAGAACCUUCCUCUUUAUCUCAUGUCUAUACAAGAAAGCUGAGGGGACUGUAGCCCACCCAAGCAUGACAGAUGUGGCUUUGGCAGGCCUGGUCCUUCCCCUGUUUCCUCUGCCUUGCUAAAAACUCUUCAGGUUACGGUCCUAAAGCUAGCCACAAAGUCUGUUCCCUCCUUUGGCCACUUCCUCCCUCCUGAGACUGACUGACAAGGUCCAGCUAUCAAAAUACUGAAAUCUAGCAACCGAAAGGCCUCUUUUGCUCAUCUACUUAAUAACGUGCCCAAACCAACUCAUUCUAACAUGGGGUUCUCCCUUUUCCCUUUACAAACUGCCACUUUCCUAUGGGCCACAUCUGUCUCUCCCCUAUCCAGAGGCAGUCAUUUGUCUUUCUCACUUCCUUCCUCUCCCUUGUUCCCUUCCCCUUCUCCCUCAUCUAUCUCCUGUCUUUGUCUCUGAGUCCUUGCCCUUUAUCCCUCUGGGGCAAAUAAAUUUUUGUGAUGAGACCUUGGUUUUGGGGUGCCUUGUGCUGGUUCUAACCAGUCCUUUCAAAGACAGUGUCUUGAGUCCCUUGCUCAUCACUAAUCUUAACUCUGACUGGGUAGAUGUUUAAUGUCUUGUAAAAAUCUAAAUGUUUCGGUUUUGCUUGAUGACCAAGGUUAGCUCACAUGUGUUCUUCUGAAUGUGAUCUUUAAGAGUUGGGCAAUACGGGUGCCUGGAAGGACCCCUAAGUUCACAGAGUCUUAAAUUAGUGAUUGGCUAAGGUAACAUGAUGGCUAGAGAAAGAUGGAUGCUGGGCUCUGCUCCCCAUCCCUGCUCACAGCAAGCGGGGACUUCAUUCCGGGCUUUACUGAGACCUCAGCCGAAAGCUUAUACGUGUUCAUCGGAUCAAAUGUGAGUGUGGGGGGAACCACGAGUCAGAAGGUCCGGGCAGAGAUGCGAACAGACACAGUACAGGAAGGUGACUCCCAGAGCAGUGUGUAUAGUAAGAAAUGGGGUGUGUGAGAAGACACAGGCAUCGGUAUUCAGACUUCCAUUGUGAUGUGUAGAGUCAUUUUUUCCAGUGAGCAGCGUUAGAGCGACGUCAUAAUCAACACGCGGAUAGCUACGUGUCUCACACUGCUGGCUACCACACUUGUAGAAGCCACAAGGUCCCAGCGCAGGACAGGCGCUCCACACCACAGAGGCCCGCAGUGUACUCCAGCUGCUCUGGCUGCUUUUCAGAGUAUUCCUCCAUCCAAUCAGAAAGCCGUUGGUCUCUCUCAGAAGAGUCAGGCCAUCAUUGCACCAGUGGGCCCACCUUGCCUGGAAAAUUGGACUCUAGCAGCUAAGAUCUAUAGUCUUCUAACGAUUGGUACUGCAGCUCAGCUAUACAUGAUGAUCAACUUUAGCAAAAGUUUCCCCGUUAUGUCCAUGAAGAUUAACAGAUGAGCCUGAACAAACUUGGGCAUUGAGUCUGCCUGCUGAGGGGACCAAGGGUGUGGACUGCUCAAGUUCCUGCUCACUGAUGUGAUGGCAUUUGGAAUUGUGUCAAGCUGAUGAAACCAACCAUCCAUCCAUCCAUCCAUCCAUCCAUCCAUCCAACCAACCAACCAACCAACCAACCAACUAACCAACCAACUAACCAACCAACCAACCAACUAACCAACCAAUCUAUCUUCCUGGAGAAACUGUGAUGGUUUGAAUUAUGCUUGACCCAGGUAGUGGCACUAUUAGGGGGUGUGGCCUUGUUGGAGGAAGUGUGUCACCGUGUGGGUAGGCAAUGAGACCCUCCUCCCAGCCAUGUGGGAACCUAGUAUUCUCUUAGUGGCCUUCAGAUGAAGAUGUAGAACUCUCAGCUCCUCCUGCACCAUGCCUGCCUGGAUGCUGCCAUGCUCUUGCCUUGAUAAUGGACUGAACCUCUGAACCUGUAAGCCAGCCCCAAUUAAAUAUUGUCCUUAUAAGAGUUGUCUUGGUCAUGGUGUCUGUUCACAGCAGUAAAACCCUAAGUAAGACACUGUCCAAUCCCACAAAACAAGGUCCCGAAUCCAACUAGGACAUGUAGCUUGUAGAACUCACUUUAGUUAACCAGCAAGGAAUUUUGUAUCAGGGAUUAUAGUAUAUUUUCAUAGUCCCAGCCCUCAGAAGACAGAGACAGAGAGAUUACUGCAAGUUUGAGGCCAGCUAGGGCUACAUGGUGUAACCCUCUUUCAAAACAUAAAAAUAAGAAACAAAACUUAGCUGGUCAUGGCUGCAGAUGCUUUUAAUCUUAGUAUUCGGCAGGUGGAGGCAGGUGGAUCUCUAUGAGUUUGAGUCUGCAUAGUGAGUUUCAGGACAGUAUAAUAAAGAGACCCUUGUCUCAAAACACAAAAGAAACCAACCAGCCACUACCAAUGAAAAGCUACUAUAGCAACAACAACAACAACAAAAAUGGUCUUGGAUACUUAAUUCCGGGCUAGUUCGUGCCUGUUUCAAUUUUAAGUGAAUAAGUUGUGCUUCCCACCUACUGGCUCACACAGGGUUUCAACCCACAAAGGGCAGAACAGCCAUAUAAGCAGGGUGUGACCUGUUACUUGGCCUGUGUCUCAGUUCCACCACAGGAGAGUGACAUUUACUCAGCUCCACCCCCACCCUGCUGAGGCAGCAGUACUCCACACUGCUGACAGGAAGAGCAGGUACAGUAUUAAAGCAGGGCCUGGCUUGUGGAAAGUUCUUGGUUAAGGUGAGCUGUGCUUACCCACAGGACUGUAAAACUGAGGCCAAGAAAAGUCAGUUUCCUUACCCAGGGCCAACCCACUGCAAAGCAGAGCUGAGUUGCAAAGCCAAGCCAAAGUGGCUAAGGGCAGUGCCAGAUGCUGGCCCACUCCAUCAUCGCCAUGGGCCAUGCUGCAGUCACGGGGUCACUGACAGCCUGACGGCCCUUGGGCAGUUCUUGCCUUUCACGUGUUCUUGGCUUUGGAGAGAGGCUGGUGCCCAGCCGCUCACCCUAGCUAACCAGUGCCCAUGAACCAUCAGGUCCUUGAUCAGUUUUGUUUCCUUUGUUCUCAGUGAUCCAUCACCCAGGCACAGGUCUUGCCCUGGGGGGGGGGGGGUGAGCUCACCAAUAAAACCGGCAAAGCUUGCUACUCGAAGAACAAUAAACGCCAUGUCUGCAGAGGGAAAAGGUGGGACCUCUACAGGUAUGGGCAAAGGUACGGGAAUAAAGAAAGUCAUUUGGGCUUGCUUCCAAAACAACCCAAACACACAGGCAUUAACUUAUUUUUAGACUUUGAAUUGUUCGAGAGCAACACUCCAUUUUGCACAGUGUCUAUUGUUCAGGUUUAACUGAUGUUCAUAAGAAAAUAUUUUUGAAAUACCACAAGAAAGUCUGGGUUGGGGGGCAAGAACAGUGAGGGAGGAAUAGUGCAGAGGGAGCCUUUCUUUUUGAAGCCAGUGGGGAGAUGAAGCUCUUGGAAAGGAGCCGGGGCUGUCAUAUUUCUGGCCCAUUGUAAAGCCUAAGGCAGUUUGGCUAAACAUCAAAAUGUGGGGGCGUUUCUUUGAAUUAAGUUUUAUUGCACAGAAAACAUAUAGGAGGCAUUCUAUUAUGAAUUUUGAAAGUGUUAUCUCCUUUUUUCUUUUCUUUUUAAAAAGUGUGUGCGUGUGCGUGCGUGUGUGUGCGUGCGUGUGCGUGUGUGCGUGUGCGUGCGUGUGCGUGCGUGUGCGUGCGUGUGCGUGUGCGUGUGCGUGUGUGUGCGUGUGCGUGUGCGUGUGCGUGUGUGGCACGUGUCAGAGGAUAACUUUGUUGGAAUCAUUCUCUCCUUCCACUUUUAUGUGGGUUCCAGGCAUCACACUCACGUUGUGGCACGCACACUGAGUACUUCCACUCACAGGAAACCACCUAGAUGGCCCUUAUCUCUUCCUUUUGACUCAAGAGUUCUAGCAGGAGCAGCGUCUUGGAUGCAGACAGCUUGGUAUAGGCAGAGAACAUCUCUGAGCCGUGUAGGGAUUUUAACAAACUGGGAGCAGGGGCCAGGGGAAAUACUCCCUAUAUACGGCAGUAGACUUCAUAGUACCUUGAUUCAGAGCACCUAGUCAAAAGCCAGUACUGGGCAUGACCUGUAGUUCUCUCUGGAUGCUUCCCACUGCGAGAGAUUUUCAGAGUGGAAACCAGACCAUUGUUUUAGUCAUGGCUUUAGAGAAAUACUUUUGAUAAGAUAACAGCUUCCUUCCUUCCUUCCUUCCUUCCUUCCUUCCUUCCUUCCUUCCUUCCUUCCUUCCUUCCCUUACAUUUGAUACAGGGUCUCAUGCGGCUAAGCUAGCCUCUAACUAGCAAUCUUCCUGCUUCAGCCUCCUGAGAGUGAGUGCUACCAUGCCUGUCUACUUCAAUGUUUUGUUUUAGCUUUAUUUAUGUGUAUUGUUUAUUUAUGUGUAUGAAUGGAUGUUUAUAUAUAUAUGUAUAUAUGUAUACAUAUAUAUAUAUAUAUAUGUAAUACACACACACACACACACACGUAUGCCCGUCUGGUGCCUGAGGAGGUUACAGGAACUGGAGUUCCACAUGGUUUCGAGCCACCAUGUGGGUGCUGGGAAUUGAACCCCAGUCCUGUGCAGAGCAGCGAGUGUUCUUAACCCCUACAGUCGUCUCUCCCACGUCAGCUUUCUAAAUGUGAUGCCAUUACUACAGUGAGCAAAAGGGGACAAUUGGAGUUUAUUCCUUAAAAAACAACACCACCACCAACAAAAAACCAACCUUUCAAGUGUAUCUAAUCAUAGUUGCAAGCAGAAAUCAGGGCAAGACCUUUCAAAAAGCUAACGCAGUGUUAUUUCCACUCGUGACACUUCUUUUGCUAAUUCAUUCUCAGCCUUUGGUUUGAUACAGGAAUGUAACAUGUCCACAGAGACGGGAUAGUCAAACGGACCCCCGUGGACUCAUCACCGCCUUCAGUAGCUGUAAACUCUUGGUCAUCUUUUCUGUUCUUUUUUUUUUCUCAUGCCGGUGCCCUCCACAUUACUGUGAAGAAGAUUCCAGUCAUUGUACAUUUUUACCCAUUAAGUAUUUCAAUAUGCAUCCCUAAGAGAUAAGAAUCCUUCCUCUAACAUUUUAUUAGGGGAAAUUGGAAGCCUGCAGCCAAGUUGGAAGCCGUGCACGCAGUUGGUUGUACUGCUUUGUUGUGCAGACGCCCAUCUGUUCAUCCAUCCAUCAGCCCUCCUGGUUUGAAAAAUGCAUUUCAGAGUAAGUUGCAGACAUCUUGCAGACUCCCCUUUAAGCACUCCAACAUGCAUAUUAUAAGCUAGAGUUUAAUAUCUGUUUAUGACUUUCUUCCCACUGAAUACAACAUUUACCUCACCCAGACGCACAUCUGAAGUACACAUUGGCUGCUUUUUGACAGAUGUAACCCACACCCCUAUUGAGGCAGAAUUUUACCAUCAGUCCAGAAAGUUCCUUUUUGCCUCUUCCUACUCAAUUCCCACCAACACUCAUAAGCCAGCCUUGUUUUCUGCGUAUGGAUGUACAGAAGUGCUUUGGAGUCGUCGUCUUGUCUGUUGGCACAGCAGGCACACGCCCCAUCACCACGGUGCCACACUCACUCUGCCCCUACACUGCUCUUUGAUUUGCCCUCCCCUCUCUACCUUGUUUCAGGCUUCUACAGCAUUUCCAAGGUUUAAUACGGGACUUGGUAUUUCUAGCCCCAUUUCUUCCCCCAGAGCAGGCUUUUGUAGUCCCUUGAGCAUGGCUCAAGAUUAUCUUGGUCACCACUGGCCUGGCCUUUCCAGGAAAGGUCCUUUGUGGGUAUAGGCAGCGGUGACUCUGUUCUGCGAUUACUUAUUCCAUGCUUGGCCAAUGUGACAGGGUUUGGGGUAGAUACCCAAGGGGCCCCACCCUUUUAGAGGUAAAGGGGAGCCCUCUUUAUGGGGGGAGUGACUAUGUGAGGGGGACCAGGAGAGGGGGCAGUGUUUGGAAUGUAAAUAAAUAAACAAACAAACUAAACAACCAAACUGAAAACUUUCCAUAAAUAACAAUAAAAUAAGCAUGUAGUCUUAAAAUGCUAGCAUAGCUAUGUGUGAAUCACAUCAAAGAGGAGUAAAAAGAUAUUUGUACCUUCUUUUCCCUCAAACUAUCCAAUUAUUUGGUAAUACAGAUGUCAGAGAAUCCCUGUCCUCUGAAACUCCAGUGGCACUGGGUUGACUGGCUUGCCCCACUCUUCCCCUGACCCUGUCUCUGGGCUUCUGGAUAAUGGUUUCUCUCCUUGUUAUCUCUGGCCCACUGAGUUGUUUGUGUGGGGGUCACCUCCUUCCUAGAUCCAUGUCUCUUUUCAAGCUCCCUUUCCUCCCAAAGUGCUUCUUCUCUCUAGAUUUUGCUGAAACCCACGCUCAAAAGAAUUUUAGAGUAGACAACAGAUGUUUCUAAAGGUUUAGGAAUUUGCAGGUUUGCAUCAAAGGCAUGUAAAAGGUAUUUUAAAUGUUUAAUUUCAGAAAUUCCUAUAUUUAAAGAACCUUGUUUUUCAAAUCAGUUUUGUUUUUGCUUUUUUGUCUUCCUUUAUUAGAAGGUUUCCUUACUCUGGCAUGGCCAGAUUAAAGGUAAGUCUAACCUUAGGCAAGAUGGGUUUAAGGUGGCCUUCCUACCUGAAAAGUCCAUUUAACUAAGUAUUCCUCACAGGUUAGCCCAAUAUUGGGUUUUUAGUUAAUUCCAGAUGUAGUCAAGUUGACAAGGAAGAAUAGCCAUCACAAGACCACCCCUUGCCAAGUUGACACAUAAUCCUAUCUCCAUAUCACACUUAAUUUUCAAAGGAAAACAUGAACCAGGUUAUAAUCACGCCUAAUUUGACAUAGCUAUCCCAUGUACAACUGCAGGUGCACUAUAUAGUUCAGAAUAGGUGUCAAUAUCCUUUGGGCGAUAUUCUUUUAGUAUCUUAAAACUUCAUAUGAUAACCACUGAUAUUUUCUCAACCAUCUUAUUUUUACGGUAAUGUUACUGUGAAGAGAUACCAUGACCAAUGCAACUUGCAAAAGAAAGCAUUAAAUUGCUUACAGUUUUAGGGGAUUGGUCCAUAAUCAUCACGGUAGGAAGAAGACAGGCAUGGCACUGGGGAAGUAGCUGAAAGCUUUCCAUCUUGAUUUAUAUGCAGCAGACAGAGUGACCAAGAGAAAGAUAGAGACAGAGAGACAGAGGAAGACAGAAAGAAACAGAGAGACAGACAGAGCCUGGGCCUGGUAAGGCCUUUCGGAACCUCGAAGCCCACCCCCAGCAACACACCUCUUCCAACAAGGCCACACGUCCUACUCCUUCCCAAAACCGUUCCACUUCCUGGUGACUGAGCAUUCAAAUAUAUGAGCCUAUGGGUCUUUUCUCUUUUAAACCAUCACGGUAAAUGUGGAAACCUUUUGUACAGUAAGUGUAUAAAAACAACCUAAAUAUACAUCAAUGGCUAAAUGUAUAAAGAAAUACACAUAUGAAUGCACAUAGAUGUACACAAAUAUUAUUCACUUAUAGAAAAAGAACUGUUGCUGGGUGUGGUGGCUUAUGUCUGUAAUCCUACAACAUGAGACUAUCUACAACAACAACAACAACAACAACAACAACAACAACAACACCCUCAAAUCCCCAACACACACACACACACACACACACACACACACACACACACACAUCUUAAAAUAUCCCAAGUAUAUGGUAGAUACUUAAUAAUUACUUGCCAAACCUGAAUUAUUGUUUUUGUUUAAUAGGCUGAUAAAUGUAUUAUUUUUUGUUUAAUAUGCUCACAAGUAUCUAUUGACUUAUAAAUCUAGCCAUGGGAUGUCUGGUUCCAAUUUAGUUGACAUUUUCAUUUUCUGCACGGUGACAGUGAGUCUAAACUGUGGGGGAGAGCCGUGCCAGGACAACCAUGUGAAAUAUUUCUUCUGCUGUUUGACAGCAUAUUGGCUCAAAGGAAUGGUGUCCCCAAACCUGUAACCAAAGGAGGUGUGCAGGCUAGAUUUACAUUGGCUUGACACAAACUAUAGUUAUCUGAAAGGAGGGACCUUCAACUGAGAAAAUGCUUCUGAAGGUCAAGCUGUGGCCCAGCCUUGUAGAGCAGUUUCUUCAUUAGUGACUGAUGGGGGAGGGCCCAGCCCAUUGUAGGUGGUGCCACCUCUGGGUUUGUAGUCCGGGGCUCUACAAGAAAGCAGGCCAAGCAAGCCAUUGGGAGCAAGUCGUUAGGCAGCACCUCUCCCUCCCCCCACCGCCAUGGCCUCUGUCUCAUCUCCUCCCUCCAGGUUCCUGUGCUGUUUGAGUUCCUGUUCCAGUUUCCUUCAGUGAUGGACUACGGUGUGGAAGUGUGAGCCCAGAAAACCCUUUCCUCCCCAAUUUGUUUUUUGGUCACAAUGUUUCUAGAAACAUCCAAGAGACUUGGAUGGACUUUUGCCUCAAAGUAGGGUUUGAACCUCACACUCCAGUCCCCUAGCAAUCCUGGAAAUGUAAGCAUUAGCUUUGCUCCACCUUAGGCCUUUAAAUCCCAUGUACAAAGGUGGAGUUACCAGGGCGUUGUUGAAUCCAACAGGGGAGAAGUGCUUCUUCCUGAUCCAAAGAAGCAGUUUACCUUUGGCCCUGGGUGGAGACAUGGCAUUCUGACCUACUCCAAACAUCACAGCAUUACAUACUAGUGUCUCUCUUCCCUUGAGAAUUAAUCCAGCUGAGCCUGUCAAUCACAGGUGUGGGGACAAGCCCUACCCCCUUUCCUCCAGUAAGGCCAAUUCUCCUGAAGACAGGCUAAGGAGAGGGGAGGAGUAAUUAUCCUCUAAUGAGAUGAUGAGUUUACUCUUACCCCCAAAUCCACGCAAUUGCUGGCAGAUCUUCCAUAAUGUAACACCGCAGAGCUGGUCUGCUCUUCUCAGUCAGUAACACAUAACUUUUUCUUCUCUUAUCUCUGACCAAAGUCUGGGUAGGCCUUCCCUGAUACUCGAAAAUUCCCCAGUCAUAUUCCCACCCAGCUGCUGUUUGUCUGUCAUGUGGCUGCUUCGCUGAUCUCCGAUCUCCGUUGCCCCCUGUCCCUUCCAGCUCCACGUCUUCCUCUCUCCAGCUUCCUGCCCCGACUCCUGGCAGCUUCUGUGCCCUGUUGUUUUGCAAACUCUAACAAAGUUGUUCUUGCGCUUUCUGCUGAAUCCAUUUCUAAAUCCUUUUAUUAACGAGCCUAAGACCUGGGAGAAACACAAAGAUUAGCAGAGCCCGGAUGACUCUGCUUUGAGGAAAUGCCGUUUGGUGACUGCCCCACAUAAGUUUCUAGUUCCCGUCACAUGAAAUCUGAUUCUCCCGAGUUUUGACGUCCUUCCAAAACACCAAACGUCUCCAAACCUCAGUAAGUACAUUAUUACCAGACCACAUUUCUCCAUGUGAAUUCGCCAACUGUAUGAGAAUCUGAGACCAAAUUUUGACCAGUAGAGUAAGCCCAGAACCCUCAUGUUGGGAGUAACCCUCUGAGGGACUCCCCGCUGGUGUGCUUGCUUCCCAGAACUUGUUAGGGCUUUGAAAACUUCUGCAGAAUUAAAUAAAACUUUCUUGCCCAA